rnacentral:miRNA from 1 species
UUUUAGUAGCCACUUAGUCACAAACACUGGCCAAAGUUAGCAUUUCUUGCAUUUUUAACAUACAAACAAAUGUAAAUGCUAACUUUGGCCAGUGUUUGUGACUAAGUGGCUACUAAAAAAG